GUUUAUUUCAGUUUAAUGAAAGGUAAUUGGUGUUCAAAACAAUACUGGAUUCCACUGAUUUUAGUCUGCUAAAUGCUCAAAUAUAAAUGAAAUUGGAAAAAGUGAACAGGAGAUACGAAAGAAAAUACACAAGCAUUUCUCUUUUUAUUUUUCUAUUACAGCCGACAAGGUUUCAGAUGCGUUGUGAGAAAUAUUCAAUACAGAAAUGCUGAGAAAUCUUUAAGAUAUCUUUCACAAAGCUUAAUUAAUAUAGUAUUAAAACCCUUUAAAUUAAUGAAGAAAAAAGUUACACACACAAGAGUAAGGACCAAGGGAAAUUAAAAAGAGGAUAUCUGGUAGAUCUUAAUUUAAUACAUUUCCUUGUCAAGGGUGAUCUAGUCAUAAUCACAAGACUGCAUGAUGUCAAGUCUGAAAUAAUGUAACCUAUAAACCUGACAUUUCCACAUGCGAGUUAUAAUGAAAGAUAUGCCACUAGAGGUCAUCUACGCUUUAAUAUGUUACAUUUUUACACAAUUUAGGAAAUAAAUAAAUCCUCAGCACUAAGCAGUAACGAUGGUCAUUUUAUGAACACACUUUACAAAAAUGACACAUACUUUCUGACUAAAGCGUAGUUGGUAUUACCUUUUAGACAAUGGAAACUUACCAAAAUGAGUCCUUAUUAAACAUUUUCUUCUGCAAAUAAAAUCAACCAUGUGAAAUUAAUCAUCUGAUUAUCACUGAUUAGUACAUUGAGGAAUGUAAAAUGUGAAAAAAAAUAUCAGACACUUGAGCAUGUAAGUGUCUUUGGUAAAAAUCAAUGUGCUGCUGUGAUGUUUAUAGAGUUAGGGCUCGUUUCUUUUUGGAGAAGAACAACUUCCAGUUGACCCAGUUGCUCCAGUCCAAGUCUCCGGCUGAAAUACAGGUGCCACCCGGCC